AUUGAACGCUGGCGGCAUGCUUUACACAUGCAAGUCGAACGGUAACAGGUCUUCGGAUGCUGACGAGUGGCGAACGGGUGAGUAAUGCAUCGGAACGUGCCCGGUCGUGGGGGAUAACGCAGCGAAAGCUGUGCUAAUACCGCAUACGAUCUAAGGAUGAAAGCGGGGGACCGUAAGGCCUCGCGCGAUCGGAGCGGCCGAUGUCAGAUUAGGUAGUUGGUGGGGUAAAGGCUCACCAAGCCAACGAUCUGUAGCUGGUCUGAGAGGAGAACCAGCCACACUGGGACUGAGACACGGCCCAGACUCCUACGGGAGGCAGCAGUGGGGAAUUUUGGACAAUGGGCGCAAGCCUGAUCCAGCAAUGCCGCGUGCAGGAAGAAGGCCUUCGGGUUGUAAACUGCUUUUGUACGGAACGAAACGGUCUGGGUUAAUACCCUGGGCUAAUGACGGUACCGUAAGAAUAAGCACCGGCUAACUACGUGCCAGCCGCCGCCGUAACAC
rnacentral:rRNA from 1 species